rnacentral:rRNA from 1 species
GACGAACGCUGGCGGCGUGCCUAACACAUGCAAGUCGAACGGGGCCCGCAAGGGUUCAGUGGCGAACGGGUGCGUAACACGUGAAGAACUUGUCCAUCGGCGGGGGAUAGCCGGCCCAACGGCCGGGUAAUACCGCGUACGCUUGUCGGAUGGCAUCACCUGACAAGGAAAGCAGCAAUGCACCGAUGGAGAGCUUCGCGGCCUAUCAGCUAGUUGGCGGGGUAAUGGCCCACCAAGGCGACGACGGGUAGCUGGUCUGAGAGGAUGACC